rnacentral:tRNA from 1 species
GGGGUUGUGGCUCAGUGGUAGAGCACCCGCCUCUCACAGGCGGGACCCAGGUUCGAUCCUCAGCAUCA